AGCACACGCCGCCGGGAAUGAAGGCCCAAAUAAUUCAGCUGGAACACGCGCCGGCUCGUGAUGGACACGCGAACUGCACGGGUGGCGCGCCGGAGCUGGUUCGGACGGAAAAGUUACUCCGCCUCCUCCUAUGGUUGCGGUGACACGAAAUUGCCUAUUACGAAAUAACAGAUCCAAAACAACAUGAAGCCCUUUUCUGAUAUUAUGUAAUCAAUCAAUAAAUUGGAAGAUCUUAGGUGAGCAAUUCAUAAAUACAAUACAUUAUGUUACUAUCAGCCAUUCAAACUCUUG
rnacentral:misc_RNA from 1 species